rnacentral:lncRNA from 1 species
CCCAUAUUGUUUUAGGAGUUGACAAAUCACAAGAUUUGCCAAGUAAAAAAUAUCAAACUCUUGUAGAUGCUCUUAGUUUGCUAGAUAUAGAUUGAAAAGCCAUGCAAAUCCCAGUGACAAUCAUGGCAUAUACAUGAUGUAUUGUUUUUGGUGAACUAUAUAUGUACGUAGUCUGCAAAGUUGGAUGCAGAUAUAUUAUAUGUAUUCAUGCCAACCAAACAAAAGCACCAUUAUUGGAGUGUGUGGCUAACAAAACUCCUGAUAAAUUAUGAUUCAUCGAUGGCUAAUGCAGAGCUUACAUAUGCACAUAGGCGGCCGGACAGGUGAUAUAAUUAUGCAUCCAUGGCUAAUGCAGAGGUUAUGGACAUAGUCUGCCAGGUGGUUAAGCCUUUAAUGAUAUAGAUCAUGAAAAAUCUACAAAGUAAUAAUCAAAAUGGAAUGUUUAUAAAACAUGAUCAUGUGGGUCAAGGUCCUCCUUGGAAUGGAGAUUCAUCCCCCCCUAUUUUCUGUGUAUUUCUAGUGAAAAUGAUUCCUAUAAAAUCCCUGGAUGUUCCAAAUUAAGGGUCUAAAUGAUGGAGGAGAAUAUACACAAUUAGCCAGAUAAGGUCAUGGCAUUAUUCACUGAGAUCCUAGUAUGAUUUGUCUAACAAUUUUAUUUUAUAUUUGAAGAUGGUGAUACUCUACUCCAUAACAAUAUAAUGCUGUUGUAUGGGAGGGGGCUGGUGGUUGUAGUAGGAGUAAAUGGUCU